rnacentral:piRNA from 1 species
UGAGCUGUACCAUUCUGGGAGGUGUUC